UGGGGAAUUUUGCGCAAUGGGGGAAACCCUGACGCAGCGACGCCGCGUGGAGGAUGAAGGUCUUCGGAUUGUAAACUCCUUUUGCUGGGGAACAAAUGCCAUCCGUUAAUAGCGGGUGGAGUUGAGAAUACCUGACGAAUAAGCACCAACUAACUCCAUACCAACAACCACAAUAAUACAAAAAAUACAAACAUUGUUCGAAAUUAUUAAACGUAAAACACGUGUAGACAAUUGUUUAAGUUCUCUGUGAAAGCUCAAAACUCAACCCUGAAACUGCAGCGAAUACUAAAUAACUUGAGUGCCGGAGAGGAAAGCGGAAUUCCUGAUGGAGCAGUGAAAUACAUAGAUAUCAAAAAGAACACCAAUGGCGAAGACAACUUUCUAGACAACGACUGACGCUGAGACACGAAAGCGUGGGUAGCAAACAGG
rnacentral:rRNA from 1 species